UACGGAGGGGGUUAGCGUUGUUCGGAAUGACUGGGCGUAAAGCGCGCGUAGGCGGCUCAGGAAGUUGGGGGUGAAAUCCCGGGGCUCAACCCCGGAAUGGCCUUCAAAACUCCUGGUCUUGAGUUCGAGAGAGGUGAGUGGAAUUCCGAGUGUAGAGGUGAAAUUCGUAGAUAUUCGGAGGAACACCAGUGGCGAAGGCGGCUCACUGGCUCGACACUGACGCUGAGGUGCGAAAGCGUGGGGAGCAAACAGG
rnacentral:rRNA from 1 species